rnacentral:lncRNA from 1 species
CCAACCCGCUACCAGCUAGAGGGUGCUGAUACCCUCUUUUUCCCACCACCUUCUGCCCCCAGACCUCUUCAGAGGCAUAGCAGGCUGGAAGGAGCAGCCUACCAGUGCCCUAGUCACCAUAGGGGAGCAUUUGGAAGUCCAGGAGGUCCUCGAAGGGAGCUGCCUCUAAAGGCUUUGCCCCCAGGGCAGCCGCCUGCUUUUUCAGGAAGGAGAGGGGGACAGGGGCAGCCACCGGGCAGCAAAAAGAGGCGGCCAGCCGACUCCUGCCUUUCGGCCGAAUGACCCACCGCUGCCGCGCCGCCACCUCUGCACCUGCCUGGCUGAGGAAAGGAAAAGAUUUCCGGGGGUUUGGAAGAAGCCAAAUCUUCCGGCUUGCCCUUGGGGCCCGCCCUAAAGAGCGCAGGAAGCCCAGUGGGUAUGUGGCGGUCGCCCUACGAGUCUUGCAGGGAAAGUUCGCUCUGCAGACGCGAGAGAAAAAACAACCACCCUCUGCCGCUUGGCUCCACAAGAACCAUGCAGCGAAAACGCAGAGGUCAGCCCCUCUCCAGGAUUCAGCCCAUCUUGGAUUCAGCUUCUUCGGCCGCACAAACUCCCAAGCUCUGAGAACACGCAGCGCACCCCGCGCGCCUCGCAGCGAAGGCACCCGGGCCACACUGCUGAGUUCUCCGCGUGGCGAAUGCGCGUCGCUUAAGGAAAGCAAUUGA